UUAAAUUGAAGAGUUUGAUCAUGGCUCAGAUUGAACGCUGGCGGCAGGCCUAACACAUGCAAGUCGAACGGUAACAGGAAGCAGCUUGCUGCUUUGCUGACGAGUGGCGGACGGGUGAGUAAUGUCUGGGAAACUGCCUGAUGGAGGGGGAUAACUACUGGAAACGGUAGCUAAUACCGCAUAACGUCGCAAGACCAAAGAGGGGGACCUUCGGGCCUCUUGCCAUCGGAUGUGCCCAGAUGGGAUUAGCUAGUAGGUGGGGUAAAGGCUCACCUAGGCGACGAUCCCUAGCUGGUCUGAGAGGAUGACCAGUCACACUGGAACUGAGACACGGUCCAGACUCCUACGGGAGGCAGCAGUGGGGAAUAUUGCACAAUGGGCGCAAGCCUGAUGCAGCCAUGCCGCGUGUAUGAAGAAGGCCUUCGGGUUGUAAAGUACUUUCAGCGGGGAGGAAGGGAGUAAAGUUAAUACCUUUGCUCAUUGACGUUACCCGCAGAAGAAGCACCGGCUAACUCCGUGCCAGCAGCCGCGGUAAUACGGAGGGUGCAAGCGUUAAUCGGAAUUACUGGGCGUAAAGCGCACGCAGGCGGUUUGUUAAGUCAGAUGUGAAAUCCCCGGGCUCAACCUGGGAACUGCAUCUGAUACUGGCAAGCUUGAGUCUCGUAGAGGGGGGUAGAAUUCCAGGUGUAGCGGUGAAAUGCGUAGAGAUCUGGAGGAAUACCGGUGGCGAAGGCGGCCCCCUGGACGAAGACUGACGCUCAGGUGCGAAAGCGUGGGGAGCAAACAGGAUUAGAUACCCUGGUAGUCCACGCCGUAAACGAUGUCGACUUGGAGGUUGUGCCCUUGAGGCGUGGCUUCCGGAGCUAACGCGUUAAGUCGACCGCCUGGGGAGUACGGCCGCAAGGUUAAAACUCAAAUGAAUUGACGGGGGCCCGCACAAGCGGUGGAGCAUGUGGUUUAAUUCGAUGCAACGCGAAGAACCUUACCUGGUCUUGACAUCCACGGAAGUUUUCAGAGAUGAGAAUGUGCCUUCGGGAACCGUGAGACAGGUGCUGCAUGGCUGUCGUCAGCUCGUGUUGUGAAAUGUUGGGUUAAGUCCCGCAACGAGCGCAACCCUUAUCCUUUGUUGCCAGCGGUCCGGCCGGGAACUCAAAGGAGACUGCCAGUGAUAAACUGGAGGAAGGUGGGGAUGACGUCAAGUCAUCAUGGCCCUUACGACCAGGGCUACACACGUGCUACAAUGGCGCAUACAAAGAGAAGCGACCUCGCGAGAGCAAGCGGACCUCAUAAAGUGCGUCGUAGUCCGGAUUGGAGUCUGCAACUCGACUCCAUGAAGUCGGAAUCGCUAGUAAUCGUGGAUCAGAAUGCCACGGUGAAUACGUUCCCGGGCCUUGUACACACCGCCCGUCACACCAUGGGAGUGGGUUGCAAAAGAAGUAGGUAGCUUAACCUUCGGGAGGGCGCUUACCACUUUGUGAUUCAUGACUGGGGUGAAGUCGUAACAAGGUAACCGUAGGGGAACCUGCGGUUGGAUCACCUCCUUACCUUAAAGAAGC
rnacentral:rRNA from 1 species